UGAGGUAGUAGAUUGUAUAGUUGUGGGGUAGUGAUUUUACCCUGUUCAGGAGAUAACUAUACAAUCUAUUGCCUUCC
rnacentral:pre_miRNA from 8 species